UACGGGGGGGGCAAGCGUUGUUCGGAAUUACUGGGCGUAAAGGGCGUGUAGGUGGCCAACUAAGUCAGACGUGAAAUCCCUCGGCUUAACCGGGGAACUGCGUCUGAUACUGGAUGGCUUGAGUGUGGGAGAGGGAUGCGGAAUUCCAGGUGUAGCGGUGAAAUGCGUAGAUAUCAGGAGGAACACCGGUGGCGAAGGCGGGUCUCUGGGCAACAACUGACGCUGAGGAGCGAAAGCGUGGGGAGCGAACAGG
rnacentral:rRNA from 1 species